rnacentral:lncRNA from 1 species
CUCCCUUUUGAACCUGAGGGCUGGAGUUCCUAAAAACGUCCAGACCAAGUAAGCUUUUACUUGCUCUCCUCCUGAACCAUGCCCUCUGUACCAAGGCUGUUGGAAAAUUCCUAAGAUUUUACCGCAGAGUGCUUUGUGGUCCUGGGAUGCAGGAAGAUUUGAAUGCUGAUUAUUAUCACAAGGAUGAGGAGGAUUUGCACACACACAAACAUCUGUGAUACCAAGCAAAUUAUAAGGCACAGGCGAAGCACUCUGAGGACCUGGGAAGAUAUUAAUUAUCAGUGAGCGCUUCAAUGGAAAGAGUCUUUAUUAGGAAAUCACUGGAGGUGAGUCUUAAACCACCCUGAAAGAGGAAACAAGAUGUGCAAGUCAGAAGAGGGCAGCGUAUUGCCCAGAGAAUUCUAGGCUGCCUUAACCAUUGACGUGACCCUGUGUGUGUGCAGACAGCACAACCUACAACUGCACAGGACGAAGCAAGAGCCUGCAGCACUGUGCAGAUCAACACAUGCGUGACUUCCAGCCUGGACAAAUGUGGGGAACUAGGUGCUUGUGCGAAACUACUACACUUUCCUCUUCCUAAAUAUAUUAUUUAAAUAAAGUAGGCUAGCUAACAGUGUCAAUAGUAAUUGAGUGGAACUAAUAAGCAGAUAUUACCUAUGACAAAAAUGUAAAACUAUUUUAAUAGUAUUUAAGUAUUCAAUAAUAUUUAUUGUCAUUCUCUA